CAGUCGUACCUAUGGGUAAUCAGCCUUUUGGGUGUGAUUUUGUGGAGCGUGAGGAGUUAAACGCCCCCAUGCCUGCAUAUUCGUGCACUUUGGGUGUACGAAUAUGCAAAACAUGAAGGCGGUUAAGCUCCUCACGCCCCACAGAAUCGCACCCGAAAGGCUGAUUACUCCG
rnacentral:rRNA from 1 species